rnacentral:rRNA from 1 species
GACGUAGGGCGCGAGCGUUGUCCGGAUUUAUUGGGCGUAAAGAGCUCGUAGGCGGCUUGUCGCGUCGACUGUGAAAACCCGUGGCUCAACCAUGUGGUCUGCAGUCGAUACGGGCAGGCUAGAAUUCGGUAGGGGAGACUGGAAUUCCUGGUGUAGCGGUGAAAUGCGCAGAUAUCAGGAGGAACACCGGUGGCGAAGGCGGGUCUCUGGACAGUUCCUGACGCUGAGGCACGAAGGCCAGGGGAGCAAACGGG